rnacentral:rRNA from 1 species
AAAUUGAAGAGUUUGAUCAUGGCUCAGAUUGAACGCUGGCGGCAGGCCUAACACAUGCAAGUCGAACGGUAACAGGAAGAAGCUUGCUUCUUUGCUGACGAGUGGCGGACGGGUGAGUAAUGUCUGGGAAACUGCCUGAUGGAGGGGGAUAACUACUGGAAACGGUAGCUAAUACCGCAUAACGUCGCAAGACCAAAGAGGGGGACCUUCGGGCCUCUUGCCAUCGGAUGUGCCCAGAUGGGAUUAGCUUGUUGGUGGGGUAACGGCUCACCAAGGCGACGAUCCCUAGCUGGUCUGAGAGGAUGACCAGCCACACUGGAACUGAGACACGGUCCAGACUCCUACGGGAGGCAGCAGUGGGGAAUAUUGCACAAUGGGCGCAAGCCUGAUGCAGCCAUGCCGCGUGUAUGAAGAAGGCCUUCGGGUUGUAAAGUACUUUCAGCGGGGAGGAAGGGAGUAAAGUUAAUACCUUUACUCAUUGACGUUACCCGCAGAAGAAGCACCGGCUAACUCCGUGCCAGCAGCCGCGGUAAUACGGAGGGUGCAAGCGUUAAUCGGAAUUACUGGGCGUAAAGCGCACGCAGGCGGUUUGUUAAGUCAGAUGUGAAAUCCCCGGGCUCAACCU